rnacentral:rRNA from 1 species
AGUUUGAUCCUGGCUCAGGAUGAACGCUAGCGGCAGGCUUAACACAUGCAAGUCGAGGGGCAGCGGGGUAGCAAUACCCGCCGGCGACCGGCGAAAGGGUGCGUAACGCGUGAGCAACUUGCCCGUAUCCGGGACAUAAGCGGUGGAAACGCCGUCUAAUUUCCCAUAACAACAGGGGCUGCAUGGCCUUUGUUUGAAAGAUCCGUCGGAUACGGAUGGGCUCGCGAGACAUUAGCUGGUUGGUGAGGUAACGGCCCACCAAGGCGACGAUGUCUAGGGGUUCUGAGAGGAAGGUCCCCCACACUGGAACUGAGACACGGUCCAGACUCCUACGGGAGGCAGCAGUGAGGAAUAUUGGUCAAUGGACGCAAGUCUGAACCAGCCAUGCCGCGUGAAGGAUUGAGGCCCUAUGGGUCGUAAACUUCUUUUGUGGUGGAGCAAUAAGGCGUACGUGUACGCCGAUGAGAGUACAUCACGAAUAAGCAUCGGCUAACUCCGUGCC